ensembl:snRNA U6 U6 spliceosomal RNA
GUGCCUGCUUCAGCGGCACAUAUACUAAAAUUGGAACAAUAUAGAGAAUAGCAUGACCCCGGGGCAAGGAUGACACACAAGUUCGUAAAGUAUUCUCUAAUUCU